rnacentral:tRNA from 1 species
AAGAGGUCUGAAAUUCAGAAAUAAGCUUCUAACUUAAUUUCUUAGUGGUGAAAGUCCAUUAAUACCUCU